rnacentral:misc_RNA from 1 species
UAACGUACAUUCUUUAAAGUUUUCUCUAGGCUCACCUUCACACCUUUUGUUGCUUCUGCCUUCUGUCUUUCGCAUUCUCUCUCCUCCGUCUGUCAUCGAGCACCACCAGUACCACUGCCCCACCUUUCCAUCCUACUUGAUACCCCGCAAUCAUGUCCGAAACCGAAGACGUCAAGCGUCCGCGCACCGAGAGCAGCACCAGCUGCCGCAAUUGCGGUAAGGAGGGCCAUUACGCCCGCGAGUGCCCCGAGGCCGACUCCAAGGGUGACGGGCGCAGCACGACGUGCUUCCGCUGCGGCGAGGAGGGCCAUAUGACCCGCGAGUGCCCGAACGAGGCUAGAUCCGGCGCCGCUGGAGCCAUGACGUGCUUCCGCUGCGGCGAGGCCGGCCACAUGAGCCGUGACUGCCCCAACUCCGCGAAGCCGGGUGCGGCCAAGGGCUUCGAGUGCUACAACUGCGGCCAGGAGGGUCAUCUCAGUCGUGACUGCCCCAGCAGCCAGGGUGGAAGCCGCGGUGGGUACGGCCAGAAGCGCGGCCGCAGCGGCGCGCAGGGCGGCUACGGUGGCGAUCGCACGUGCUACAAGUGCGGCGACGCCGGCCACAUCAGCCGUGACUGCCCCAACGGUCAGGGCGGGUACAGCGGCGCGGGUGACCGCACUUGCUACAAGUGCGGCGACGCCGGCCACAUCAGUCGUGACUGCCCCAACGGUCAGGGCGGUUACAGCGGCGCGGGUGACCGCAAGUGCUACAAGUGCGGGGAGUCGGGCCACAUGAGCCGCGAAUGCCCCAGCGCCGGGAGCAAUGGCAGCGGUGACCGCACGUGCUACAAGUGCGGCAAGCCUGGCCACAUCAGCCGCGAGUGCCCGGAGGCCGGUGGCAGCUAUGGCGGUUCCCGCGGCGGCGGUGACCGCACGUGCUACAAGUGCGGCGAGGCCGGCCACAUCAGCCGUGACUGCCCCAGCAGCUAAAGCGAAACGAAAAAGCUGAAAGUAUGAACGAAACGGGUGUUCUGAGUGGAAUGCAAGAGUUUCACAUAAGCAGAUAAGGUGACGAAGAAGCGUGCGCGGAUGCAAGGGGUGACGUGCAGCCAUGAGUGAACGAAAAGCCAGCGAUGACAAAGGCGGAGUGGAGGCAAUCUAAAGCGAACUGCGUGCGUGUGUUGCGGGGGAGAGGGAAGGGGGGAGGGGAUUGCUGUGUUAUAUACAAACAGUAGAGCAUGUCAUGUAGUGACGCCAUGGCGCUUGAAAACAGGUGAGAGAGCCGCAUAUGUGUGCUCGUCUCCCUCUCUGUUUUUCUCUGUUGCCUUCUCACACCUGCUUCCCCUUCCCUUGCCGUCCUCCACCCCCUCCAUCCUCUCUCCAUCUCUCGUCCUCUGUUACGGGCCUUUGCUGCUGCUGCUCCUCCUCCGCCCCGCUUCGAAGCGAGAGAUGAAAACGAGAAUGAAGCGAACGAUGACCGGUCCACUGCACCGCCUUCACCUUUCCGCUCCUCCACGACCUUUUGAUGGCUAGUAG